rnacentral:tRNA from 1 species
GGAAGAGUGGCAGAGUGGUUGAAUGCAUCUGUCUUGAAAACAGAAGACUCGCAAGGGUUCGGGGGUUCGAAUCCCUCCUCUUCCG